GACAGAGGGUGCAAACGUUGUUCGGAAUUACUGGGCGUAAAGCGCGUGUAGGCGGCUAUGUAAGUCGGGCGUGAAAUCCCACGGCUCAACCGUGGAAGUGCACUCGAAACUGCAUAGCUAGAGUCCUGGAGAGGAAGGUGGAAUGCUUGGUGUAGAGGUGAAAUUCGUAGAUAUCAAGCGGAACACCGGUGGCGAAGGCGGCCUUCUGGACAGUGACUGACGGCUGAGACGCG
rnacentral:rRNA from 1 species